rnacentral:lncRNA from 1 species
AUUUGUGAACAAAAGGUCGUACAGAAGUUGUACUAAUCCACCGAAAGAUUUGCUACUUGCAAGAAAAUAAAUAUGAAAUCUAUCUUGGAGAUUCGACAUAUGUUCCAUUGAUUACAUUCAAUCAUGUAUGUACUGAAGAAACAAAAUGCAACUCCACCAUUUAGUAGUUCAUGGCUGAAUAGCUGAACUUCACAGAAUGACAAUUUUUGAACCUAGCCAAGGAAUAACUUUUCUCAAAUUCAUGUUUGAAAUUGUAGAAGCAACAACACACUUCCCCCCCCCCCUCGCCGACUCCCAUCCCAAUCUUCCUCAAAAGAAGGAUAGAUAGAGAGAAAUUGUUCUCUUUUUCAGCUAAAAAUUUAAACAGAACAAAAAAUCAGUUAGUUUGGCUCACAGCCUCCUUUAUAUAUUUUUCGAACUGAUGUUUUUUCUCAUUUGAACUAAUGUAUCUUUUGUAGUUGAAAUGUUGCAAAAUAUGUAGUUGCCCUGUUUUCUGUAAUUGAAGGGAAAAACCACAUAAGAAAAUACAACCAUGCUUUUUAACCUCCUUUAGUUCUUUUUUAGGGAAUUCAAUUCAACAAAACAUAUGCAAACAUCUCGGCUUCAAACUUCUGUAUUUUUUUUCUUUGAGCUUACUUCUCUCGAGAUUUUGAACUGAUUUGUGUUACAAGCACACGAACAACUCUGAAUGAGCUGAUGUUAGUACAUGUAAAAAAGAUGACCAUGUUCAUGUAUAUUAAUCGGAGAAGUUAAAAAAGGAACUUCAUCUUCACCAUACUGACUAGACCAAUAUUGAAAAUCUGAAGUACGAGAGGAGGCCAGCUUAAGGAAUUUAGUAAUUUAUAGUAAUUGAACUGCUGGUCCUUUUUGUGCACACUGAAGAACUACAACAGAAAUAUACCAGAGAAAAUGGAGAUGAGUGGCGGUGUCGGUGUAGCACGGCGUCCUCGCCGGAGAAGCAGCACAACAGUACCCCAACACG